rnacentral:rRNA from 1 species
AUUGAACGCUGGCGGCAGGCCUAACACAUGCAAGUCGAACGAGUGGCGGACGGGUGAGUAAUGUCUGGGAAACUGCCUGAUGGAGGGGGAUAACUACUGUAAACGGUUGCUACUACCGCAUACCAUCAGAUGUUCCCAGAUGGGAUUAGCUAGGUGGUGGGGUAACGGCUAACCAAGGCGACGAUCCCUAGCUGGUCCGAGAGGCGGACCAGCCAAACUGGAACUGAGACACGGUCCAGACUCCUACGCGAGGCAGCAGUGGGGAAUAUUGCACAAUGGGCGCAAGCCGGAUGCAGCCAUGCCGCGUGUAUGAAGAAGGCCUUCGGGUUGUAAAGUACUUUCAGCGGGGAGGCGUUACCCGCAGAAGAAGCACCGGCUAACUCCGUGCCAGCAGCCGCGGUAAUUC